rnacentral:rRNA from 1 species
UGGGGCCUACGGGACGCAGCAGUGGGGAAUAUUGCACAAUGGGGGGAACCCUGAUGCAGCGACGCCGCGUGAGUGAAGAAGUAUUUCGGUAUGUAAAGCUCUAUCAGCAGGGAAGAAAAUGACGGUACCUGACUAAGAAGCCCCGGCUAACUACGUGCCAGCAGCCGCGGUAAUACGUAGGGGGCAAGCGUUAUCCGGAUUUAGUGGGUGUAACGGGAGCGUAGACGGCAGAGCAAGUCUGAAGUGA